UGGGGAAUAUUGCACAAUGGGCGAAAGCCUGAUGCAGCAACGCCGCGUGAGUGAUGAAGGCCUUCGGGUUGUAAAGCUCUGUCUUUUGGGACGAUAAUGACGGUACCAAAGGAGGAAGCCACGGCUAACUACGUGCCAGCAGCCGCGGUAAUACGUAGGUGGCAAGCGUUGUCCGGAUUUACUGGGCGUAAAGGAUGCGUAGGCGGAUUUUUAAGUGAGAUGUGAAAUACCCGGGCUUAACUUGGGUGCUGCAUUUCAAACUGGGAAUCUAGAGUGCGGGAGAGGAGAAUGGAAUUCCUAGUGUAGCGGUGAAAUGCGUAGAGAUUAGGAAGAACACCAGUGGCGAAGGCGAUUCUCUGGACCGUAACUGACGCUGAGGCAUGAAAGCGUGGGUAGCAAACAGGAUUAGAUACCCUGGUAGUCCACGCCGUAAACGAUGAGUACUAGGUGUAGGAGGUAUCGACCCCUUCUGUGCCGCAGUUAACACAAUAAGUACUCCGCCUGGGAAGUACGAUCGCAAGAUUAAAAAGCUU
rnacentral:rRNA from 1 species